UUCUCUUCAUUGUUAUUUUGUGUAGUGUUCAGUUUGUUCAAUUAAAAUAUGACAAACACUUACCACGCUGCAUUUUGGUCUUCCUCUCCUUCCACCAACGAGAAUUGUUACAUGAAUUAUGGACUCAGCUGUGUCUUGACUCUCUGCAACUACCUCUACACAAGAGAUCUCCUAAAAGACUAAAAUAUUAUUCGAAAGUGUCUUCGUCGAGGAAAACUGAAGACUGCUGUGCUACUUCCGAAGAGUGAUACAGUCCACCCGGUCCUGGGUUACCUCCAGACAACUCCCCUGAAGCCUGUGUGUGUCGUAGAGCAAAACAACCGACACCUUCGUGUUCAUGAGAAUCUCUCCUUUCAAGUCUCUCCAGUGUGCAAAGCUGCCAUCAAGGCAAAUUGCUACUUUGAAGAAUCUCAUGUAUAAAAUAUACUUUGAUUCAUUUGAUAUGUUCAUGCCAGUAAAUUUCAGCAAGUAGCAAUGUGAA